UGCCACGGCGACAAGAUCCUCCCCCCAUUUAUACGCACAGCUCGCUCCAUCCUCAGCAGAGAUCACACACAUACAUACACUGAUACAAGCAUCCAUCGCCGAUCGCAUGAGCGUUGCACAGGCAACUCGACCAGAUCGACCGAUCCCUCGCGGUUAGCCGGAGCGAUGCCUUGCUUGGCGCACGAGUACCACCCCAGGCUCCCGGCCGCUAACCACUGCAAGUCCCUCUCCUGCCUCAUCCGGGAGACCUACGCCCACUGCCAUGUCCCCUGCCUCAGGACCCCCGGCGCCCGGUGGAGCUCCGACGACGACAGCGACGACGACGACGACAUGCUCGACACGAAACAGGUGAUACUCAACGAGAUGAGGAGGCGGCAGCUGAGGAAGGAGUCGCGGUGCGGCGCGGGCUCGCCGACUCUGUCCAGCGCCUUCGUGUGGUCUUUCACCCCGCUCGUUCUGGAGAAGGUGUCCAGCCCUGAGAAGUUCGUCGUGGUGGAAGGGGGGCAGAAGGGAGAGGCGGAGGCGGGCAGCGACGACGGCGACGCCGAGAGCGAGGCCUUCUUCUCGGUGAAGAGCUUCUUCACGCGCAGCACGAGCCGGGCGGCGACCGUGGCGUCGUUGACGGACAUGGGCCCGCCGGCGACGUGGGAGGGCUUCCGGGACUGCGAGGGGUGGCCGUUCGGGCUGUGCCGCCGCCCCGCCGUGCCGCCGCUGCCCAGCACGCCGGCCGACUCCUGGCAAUGGCGAAAGCAGAGCAGCGGCCGCAACCUCGCCGUCGCGACGAGCCCGCGCCCUGCAUACGGUCACAAGAUCACAGCGACUUGAGCGACGCCGCCGUUGACAAGCAAGAACCUUAAUGCCCUGGGUUGGAUUGGGUACAAAUUCUGCGUGCUCUCGGGUAUUCAGUUCAAAUUUGAGCUGAAUACUGGGCGCACACAGAAAUCACAGUCACGUUGAGACGGUUUCAGAGUGUUGUAAGUGGUCUCGUUGUCUCUUCUCCUUGGAAGAAUCUGCGGUUUAUCUCCAAGUGUUCGAGUGAUCUACGGUGAACUGUAGAGGCACAAACUAAAGCGAAGCAGGAGCGCACUUGCGCGCGCACGGUUGGCUAACUUCACUCGACGACUUGUCAGAUGACAUGACAUGACCAAAAGGGAAAGAGAACGGGAUGCCAAAGCGGCGGCAUCCGGGGAGGGACCGGCGGGGCACUCCGGCGCUCCACUGCGGUCGACAUUGUCGACAAUGCUGCGGCCUACGGCCAUCGGGCGAUGAUAUCGGAAUCCUGAUCCGGCGAGACCAAAUCCGGGCAAAUCGAUACGGUGUUGUACUGCGGAGUGUGUCAGAAUGCAGAGAGCCGGGUAAUGUGUGGGACUGUGCACGAGUCAGAGAGCCGACGGCCACAGCUUGGAUCGUGGGGCGAGGACUGAAGAUCAAGUAGCUCUGGUCACGGUGAACCUAAGACUGGACCCUACAAGAAAAAAAAACUGUCCAGAAGGCCUUACACAACAACAUGGAUUUCCACUUGCCGAUCUCCCCGCCAUGAGUGGAGAGUGCGUUGAUCUAGUUUGCUUUGGCGUUUUUGUCGAGCUCUAAGGUGUUCGGUUUGGUUGGGACGCGGCCUGCGUACUCUGUGUCUGUCUUCUUCGCCAUUGUUUGGCUUGAGUUUGAGCAAGGCGAGUUGUGUGUCGUUGUUGCCUUGGUGGAUGUGGUGUUAACCUUUUGGUGUAGCACUUUGCCGAAAGGC